GCUCUGAAGGUAAGAGUUGUAGGAAACUGAACUCUUCCUUGUCAGUGACAGACAGUUUCAGGAGUUCAGUUUUCUCCAACAUCUUAUCUUCAGCGC
rnacentral:pre_miRNA from 1 species